CCCUUAGAUGUUCUGGGCCGCACGCGCGCUACACUGAUGCAUUCAACAAGCCUAGCCUUGACCGAGAGGUCCGGGUAAUCUUUGAAACUGCAUCGUGAUGGGGCUAGAUUAUUGCAAUUAUUAAUCCUCAACGAGGAAUGCCUAGUAAGCGUGAUUCAUCAAAUCGCGUUGAUUACGUCCCUGCCCUUUGUACACACCGCCCGUCGCUCCUACCGAUUGAAUGUGUUGGUGAGGAGCUCGGAUUGGCAGCAGUUGGUGGUUCGCCACCGGCUAUUGCUGAGAAGUCCUCCAAACCGCCCCAUUUAGAGGAAGGAGAAGUCGUAACA
rnacentral:rRNA from 1 species